rnacentral:rRNA from 1 species
UGCAAGUCGAGGGGCAGCAUGAACUUAGCUUGCUAAGGCCGAUGGCGACCGGCGCACGGGUGAGUAACACGUAUCCAACCUGCCGAUAACUCGGGGAUAGCCUUUCGAAAGAAAGAUUAAUACCCGAUGGCAUAGUUCUUCCGCAUGGUAGAACUAUUAAAGAAUUUCGGUUAUCGAUGGGGAUGCGUUCCAUUAGUUUGUUGGCGGGGUAACGGCCCACCAAGGCGACGAUCGGUAGCCGGACUGAGAGGAAGGUCCCCACAUUGGAACUGAGACACGGUCCAAACUCC